rnacentral:lncRNA from 1 species
AAUGCAAUUCAGGGAAACCGAUCACAAUUUUGGUGCGCUUUGAAAGGAGUCAUUAGUGCAUUCUGGUGCAUGUUCCGCAGCUAAUUUUCUUCACAAAAGACAAACAUAGGCUCAUUAUGUUCAGAACAACCCAGGGCUGUUCCUGUAGAACUUCUCUGCCGGUGCCAGAGCAUUCACAGAAAAAGCGACCAAGGGUUUCCUGGUAGCUGGGGACGAGGAUGGUGAUGGCAAGAUUGGAGUUGACGCGUUUCUUGCCCUUGUAAAGGCAUAAUUGUCCAUUGACCAAGAUCAACCGCUUUUCACAGAACCAGAACUCCUAGCAAGAAUCAUUAACUUUCAGCUAAAUUCAUAUUUUUAUUUAUCAACUGCCUGCGGACUAUAUUUCUCAACAUGGAGC